rnacentral:rRNA from 1 species
GACGGAGGAUGCAAGCGUUAUCCGGAAUGAUUGGGCGUAAAGCGUCCGCAGGUGGCAGUUCAAGUCUGCUGUCAAAGACCGGGGCUUAACUUCGGAAAGGCAGUGGAAACUGAACAGCUAGAGUAUGGUAGGGGCAGAGGGAAUUCCUGGUGUAGCGGUGAAAUGCGUAGAGAUCAGGAAGAACACCCGUGGCGAAGGCGGCUCUCUGGGACGGUACUGACGCUGAGACGCGAAAGCGUGGGGAGCGAACAGG